rnacentral:lncRNA from 1 species
UUUAAAGAAAAAAAAAGUUUAAAGAGCACCUAUUGAUUAAAGGACAAUAAGUGCGAUUUGGCAUGUGCUUUUGCGGGAAGGACGUUGGACUCUUGCAGUAUAAAUUAAAAACAUCGCUUAUAAACAAUACAUCGCAGCACACUCGCAGAGAGAGCACUGGUUUUGAAAAAUGCUACUGAGUGGUAAAAACUCAAAUUGAUUUUUCUCUGCUCUCAUCCCACAACAAUCAACAUAGAAGACUUCUGUGACCAAAUACAUGUAGGGCUUUCCCCACCAGCAAGCAGCCCAUCAGUUCUGCAGUGGGCACCAGGUGAGUGCCUUCUAAUUCAAUUCUGACAUUAUCUACCUGGAGACUGUGUUAGAUCCCACAGGUUGAGCGCCCAGUCUUCAAGAUUGCUUCACAAUUCCCUCGCUUCCAAUGCCCAUUACAAGCCUCAGGUUAUUUUGCCUGUGCUUCUAACUGACUGACUGACUUAUACAUCAGGAUUCCCAUAAUCCCCUCCUUCGAUUCCAUUGAUUUGCUAAAGUGUUUCAUACAACUCAGGGAACUACUGGUUUACUAUAAAGGAUAUAACAAAGGACACGGAUGAAGAGACUCACAGG